rnacentral:tRNA from 1 species
GGGUCUUUAGCUCAGCUGGUCAGAGCAUCUGUCUUACACACAGAGGGUCGCAGGUUCGAAUCCUGCAGGGCCUA